GCGAAUGUGGUGUAAGGGCAAACAUCGAAGCACGCCAAGCUUCAGAUGCGAGUUCGAGUCUCGCCGUUCGCU
rnacentral:tRNA from 3 species